AAUCUUAAAGACUUUGGGAAGAGUCUCAAAACAGCAGCUGAAUAUAUUGGAAGACCUGAAGUUGCAGUAUAUCGCGAAGCUCAAGCCAACUAGUAUCUUCUCUGACUGGAUAUCAAAACAAGCUGAUGUGCAGGUGGGAGUAACUUGCUCAAGGAAGGAGGUCAUGACAACACCUGGAAGAGAUGGCAGAGGCUGGAAAAGUGAAAAAAACACAGAACAUUUUACUGAUAAUCUCUGAUGUUACAUGUUACAUGUGCUCCUGAUAAUGAUUGUCCUAGAUUUGAGGGUAGCUUUUAGACACUAGGAUUAUGAGUUUGUUUCUGACCUAAAUCUGUUACAUUUCCCACUGCUGUAGCACAAAUAUAUCCUUUAAUCAAUUUUA